rnacentral:rRNA from 1 species
UACGUAGGGAGCAAGCGUUGUUCGGAUUUACUGGGCGUAAAGGGCGCGUAGGCGGCAAUUCAAGUCAUCUGUGAAAUCUCCGGGCUUAACUCGGAACGGUCAGAUGAUACUGCUUUGCUAGAGUGCAGAAGGGGCAAUCGGAAUUCUCGGUGUAGCGGUGAAAUGCGUAGAGAUGUGGAGGAACACCAAUGGCGAAGGCAGCCUUCUGGGCCACAACUGACGCUGAUGCACGAAAGCUAGGGGAGCAAACAGG